rnacentral:lncRNA from 10 species
ACGUAAUUGGCCAGUUUUGCUAGGAGACUUCCAAAAGCACCGUUGUCUAAACAACUAUUUUAGUUUAAGGAUACAAUCUAGAUUUAAAAGCCAACAUGUGACUCACUUUAAGAUUGUUAAAAGCUCAGAGGACAGAGCUGUUGUACUUGCGAACUUGUUAUUUUUGUAUCCUAUCAUGGAUUUCAGACACCUGAGAGAACAAGAGAGCUAUUUAUUUCUAUGAGCCCAGGCUUAAAUUGUGGAGAGCCUCAGAGAAUUUCAUUUGACACUUUAAAAAUACUUCCCCCACCCCAGAUCCUUCAUGAACUGAGAGGCUCAUACGGAGGUUUUAUACUUAGGCAGGCAGCAGGAUGUAG